AUUAUCUGUAUCAUCGCGGGCGUGCUGGUGAUCGCGGUCGCUGCGGCGCUCAUUAUUUGCAUCACGAGCAAAAACAAGAACCGAGUCGUGCGUAUCAGCCCAAGACACCGGACGACAAUACAUCAAGAACGAGAAAUAUCCCGACGGCGAGCUUUCCCAAAGCCACCGCCUUAUUCAGAACUUCCACCUCAAUACGAAGGCCCUCCCAGCGCCGAAAGCCCGGUGACUCCGCUUCCGGGAUCCACGCUGCACCGCACGGAGAGCAUCCGGUCAACCAACGGAAUCAGAAUUCACGCAUCUGGCGCAAAUGACAGUCGACAAAACAAUAUCCACUGUUCCACUGACCCGCCGCCAUAUUUAAGCGUCAUUGCCGAAAGUAGAUCAAACUGGUCCGUACCUUACACAUCCGGGGAGUUGGGUGGUCCGGAAACCGAGAGCGGCAGUAUAUAUUAUGGGAAUCUGGCUUCUGGUAGUCAACAAAGAGAAGCUUAUCGGAAUGACAAUAGAAUUUCAGAGCGAACUGCACGUCGAACGAAUGCACUUGAGAACAUACGCAGUUAUCAUGUGUCGCUGUGAUCAAGCAGUCCGGUGCAAAUGAUAGCAUACAAAUGCCUCAAAUGCAUGUACAAACCGAUGAAAUAGUCUUAGCUCGAAUAAUCAUUUAGUGCCAUUUAGUUGUCCAAAUGAACGCCAAACCCACUCGAACAUGUAUAUUGAUGCCAGUUUCAAAGAUUUGGUGAACUAAAUGUAGUACCCGGUCUGUGCAUUCGUGUGACUUCAGAUUUAAGUACUAAUAUUUUACAACAUGUAACCACAUGUACUUAAUUUCCAUGCUUGUCAUUGUUAUUGAAGAUGUAUGUACAUGUAAAUCUACGAAAACGAAUAAAACAUUGUUUUGUUA